rnacentral:rRNA from 1 species
GACGAACGCUGGCGGCGUGCUUAACACAUGCAAGUCGAACGGAAAGGCCCUGCUUUUGUGGGGUGCUCGAGUGGCGAACGGGUGAGUAACACGUGAGUAACCUGCCCUUGACUUUGGGAUAACUUCAGGAAACUGGGGCUAAUACCGGAUAGGAGCUCCUGCUGCAUGGUGGGGGUUGGAAAGUUUCGGCGGUUGGGGAUGGACUCGCGGCUUAUCAGCUUGUUGGUGGGGUAGUGGCUUACCAAGGCUUUGACGGGUAGCCGGCCUGAGAGGGUGACCGGCCACAUUGGGACUGAGAUACGGCCCAGACUACUACGGGAGGCAGCAGUAGGGAAUAUUGCACAAUGGGCGGAAGCCUGAUGCAGCAACGCCGCGUGCGGGAUGACGGCCUUCGGGUGGUAAACCGCUUUCGCCUGUGACGAAGCGUGAGUGACGGUAAUGGGUAAAGAAGCACCGGCUAACUACGUG